rnacentral:rRNA from 1 species
CAUAUUGGACAAUGGGGGCAACCCUGAUCCAGCCAUGCCUCGUGUGUGAAGAAGGUCUUUGGAUUGUAAAGCACUUUAAGUUGGGAGGACGGGCUUUAGGUUAAUACCCUGAAGUUUUGAUGUUACCAAUGGAACAACCACCGGCUAACUUUGUCCCAGCAGCCGCGGUAAUACAGAGGGUGCAAGCGUUAAUCGGAAUUACUGGGCGUAAAGCGCGCGUAGGUGGUUCAGUAAGAUGGGUGUGAAAUCCCCGGGCUUAACCUGGGAACUGCUUUCAUAACUGCUGAGCUAGAGUACGGUAGAGGGUAGUGGAAUUUCCUGUGUAGCGGUGAAAUGCGUAGAUAUAGGAAGGAACACCAGUGGCGAAGGCGACUACCUGGACUGAUACUGACACUGAGGUGCGAAAGCGUGGGGAGCAAACAG